rnacentral:rRNA from 1 species
UACGUAGGUGGCAAGCGUUGUCCGGAAUUAUUGGGCGUAAAGCGCGCGCAGGUGGUUUCUUAAGUCUGAUGUGAAAGCCCACGGCUCAACCGUGGAGGGUCAUUGGAAACUGGGGAACUUGAGUGCAGGAGAGAAGAGUGGAAUUCCACGUGUAGCGGUGAAAUGCGUAGAGAUGUGGAGGAACACCAGUGGCGAAGGCGACUCUUUGGCCUGUAACUGACCCUGAGGCGCGAAAGCGUGGGGAGCAAACAGG